GGUGGUUCUCAGGUGAUGCAUCCAGGAAUCGGGCUCCCUCCUUUCUGGUUCCAGGCGCGUCACCAGAGAACUGCU
rfam:Myotis lucifugus cont2.1563, whole genome shotgun sequence.